AGAGCGAACGCUGGCGGCAGGCCUAACACAUGCAAGUCGAACGAUCCUUCGGGAUAGUGGCGGACGGGUGAGUAACACGUGGGAACGUGCCUUUUGGUUCGGAACAACUCAGGGAAACUUGAGCUAAUACCGAAUGUGCCCUUGGGGGAAAGAUUUAUCGCCAUUAGAGCGGCCCGCGUCUGAUUAGCUAGUUGGUGAGGUAAAGGCUCACCAAGGCUACGAUCAGUAGCUGGUCUGAGAGGAUGAUCAGCCACAUUGGGACUGAGACACGGCCCAAACUCCGUACGGGAGCAGCCAGCUAAGAAUCUUG
rnacentral:rRNA from 1 species